rnacentral:rRNA from 1 species
UACGAAGGGGGCUAGCGUUGCUCGGAAUCACUGGGCGUAAAGGGUGCGUAGGCGGGUCUUUAAGUCAGGGGUGAAAUCCUGGAGCUCAACUCCAGAACUGCCUUUGAUACUGAGGAUCUUGAGUUCGGGAGAGGUGAGUGGAACUGCGAGUGUAGAGGUGAAAUUCGUAGAUAUUCGCAAGAACACCAGUGGCGAAGGCGGCUCACUGGCCCGAUACUGACGCUGAGGCAUGAAAGCGUGGGGAGCGAACAGG